UACAACAUAGUGUUAAUGCACCAGAUCCCAUUAGAACUUCGUAGUUAAGAGUGCUCAAGAUAGAGUAGUACUGGGAUGGGUGACCACUCAAGAAGUCCUAGUGUUUUAC
rnacentral:rRNA from 1 species